UACGAAGGGGGCUAGCGUUGCUCGGAAUCACUGGGCGUAAAGGGCGCGUAGGCGGACUUUUAAGUCGGAGGUGAAAGCCCAGGGCUCAACCCUGGAAUUGCCUUCGAUACUGGGAGUCUUGAGUUCGGAAGAGGUUGGUGGAACUGCGAGUGUAGAGGUGAAAUUCGUAGAUAUUCGCAAGAACACCGGUGGCGAAGGCGGCCAACUGGUCCGAAACUGACGCUGAGGCGCGAAAGCGUGGGGAGCAAACAGGAUUAGAAACCCCAGUAGUCC
rnacentral:rRNA from 1 species